GCCAGGUGCGGGGGCGCACACCUGUAAUUCCAACCACUAUGGAGGCUGAGGCAAGAGGAUUGCAAGUUGGAGGCCGGCCUCAGCCACUUAGCAAGGCUCUAGCAACUCAGCAAGACCCUGUCUCUA
rnacentral:sRNA from 1 species